CAAGAAAUAGUUUAAAAAAAAUAUUAAUUUUGGAGAUUAAAGAUAGUAGUUUAUUUUUCUUGA
rnacentral:tRNA from 1 species